rnacentral:rRNA from 2 species
GGCCAUUGCUAUUGGGAUCCGAUUUAGCCAUGCUAGUCGCACGAGUUCAGACUCGUGGCGAAUAGCUCAGUAACACGUGGCCAAACUACCCUUUCGGAACACAAUACCCUCGGGAAACUGAGGCUAAUAGUGUAUACCAUACCACCACUGGAAUGAGUGGUAUGCCAAACGCUCCGGCGCCGAAGGAUGUGGCUGCGGCCGAUUAGGUAGACGGUGGGGUAACGGCCCACCGUGCCAAUAAUCGGUAUGGGUCAUGAGAGUGAGAACCCAGAGACGGAAUCUGAGACAAGAUUCCGGGCCCUACGGGGCGCAGCAGGCGCGAAACCUUUACACUGCACGACAGUGCGAUAGGGGGAUCCCAAGUGCACAGGCAUAGCGCCUGUGCUUUUCGGUACCCUAAGGCGGUACCAGAAUAAGGGCUGGGCAAGACCGGUGCCAGCCGCCGCGGUAAUACCGGCAGCCCAAGUGAUGGCCGAUCUUAUUGGGCCUAAAGCGUCCGUAGCUGGCCGCGCAAGUCCAUCGGGAAAUCCACCUGCUCAACAGGUGGGCGCCCGGUAGAAACUGCGUGGCUUGGGACCGGAAGGCGCGACGGGUACGUCCGGGGUAGGAGUGAAAUCCCGUAAUCCUGGACGGACCGCCGAUGGCGAAAGCACGUCGCGAGAACGGAUCCGACAGUGAGGGACGAAAGCCAGGGUCUCGAACCGGAUUAGAUACCCGGGUAGUCCUGGCCGUAAACAAUGUCUGCUAGGUGUGGCUCCCACUACGAGUGGGUGCUGUGCCGCAGGGAAGCCGCUAAGCAGACCGCCUGGGAAGUACGUCCGCAAGGAUGAAACUUAAAGGAAUUGGCGGGGGAGCACUACAACCGGAGGAGCCUGCGGUUU